rnacentral:rRNA from 1 species
UGGGGAAUAUUGGACAAUGGGCGCAAGCCUGAUCCAGCCAUGCCGCGUGAGUGAUGAAGGCCCUAGGGUUGUAAAGCUCUUUCACCGGUUAAGAUAAUGACGGUAACCGGAGAAGAAGCCCCGGCUAACUUCGUGUCAGCAGCCGCGGUAAUACGCAGGGGGCUAGCGUUGUUCGGAUUUACUGGGCGUAAAGCGCACGUAGGCGGACUAUUAAGUCAGUGGUGAAAUCCCGGGGCUCAACCCCGGAACUGCCUUUUAUACUGGUAGUCUUGAGUUCGAGAGAGGUGAGUGGAAUUCCGAGUGUAGAGGCGAAAUUCGUAGAUAUUCGGAGGAACACCAGUGGCGAAGGCGGCUCACUGGCUCGAUACUGACGCUGAGGUGCGAAAGCGUGGGGAGCAAACAGG